rnacentral:rRNA from 1 species
CCUACGGGAGGCAGCAGUGAGGAAUAUUGGUCAAUGGGCGCGAGCCUGAACCAGCCAAGUAGCGUGAAGGAUGACUGCCCUAUGGGUUGUAAACCUCUUUUAUCAAGGACUAAAGUCGGGCACGUGUGCCUUUUUGUAUGUACUUUAUGAAUAAGGCUCGGCUAAAUCCGGGCCAGCAGCCGCGGUAAUACGGAGGAUACGAGCGUUAUCCGGAUUUGUUGGGUUUAAAGGGAUCGUAGGUGGGUUGUUAAAUCAGUUGUGAAAGUUUGCGGCUCAACCGUAAAAUUGCAAUUGAUACUGGCAGUCUUGAGUGCAGGUGAGGUAGGCGGAAUUCGUGGUGUAGCGGUGAAAUGCUUAGAUAUCACGAAGAACUCCGAUUGCGAAGGCAGCUUACUGACCUGCCACUGACAUUGAUGCUCGAAAGUGUGGGUAUCAAACAGGAUUAGAUACCCCUGUAGUC